GCCUAUAUUACUGUAUAUAUACCCCUCUUUAAUUUUUUCCCCCAGAUAAAACAUUUUAAAUCUAUAGUAGAAGUGAUCGAAACAAUAAUUAGCGCUUAAGAUAUAGUACCGCAAGGGAAAAGUGAAAUAAAAUUAAAAUUAAAGCCAAUAAUAGUAGAGACCUCAGCUCGUACCUUUCGCAUCAUGGUCUAGCUAGUUUAACCAAGCAAAAUGAAAUUUUAGUUUGAUCCCCCGAAACUAAGUGAGCUACUUCAAAACAGCUUAUUGAGCUAACCCGUCUCUGUAGCAAAAGAGUGGGAAGAUUUUCAAGUAGAAGUGACAAGCCUAUCGAACUUAGAGAUAGCUGGUUAUUCAGCAAAAGAAUAAAAGUUCUGCCUUAAAUUUUACCAUGCCACAAACAACCAAAAAAAUUUAAGAGUUAUUCAAAUAAGGCACAGCUUAUUUGAAAAAGGACACAACCUCGCCUCCCGGGUAAACCUUAAACCCUGCAUCAAGUGGGCCUAAAAGCAGCCACCUUCAAUAAAAGCGUCACAGCUUAACCCCGUAAUAAAUAAAUUCCACUAGUAAUUAUUAACCCUUCCCCACUACUGAAUGAUUUUAUAAUAAUAUAAAAACCACAAUGCUAGAACUAGUAACAAGAAUUUUUAAUUCUCCUAAAUGUGAGCACUAACACCCAGUUAACGAAAAUGAACCCACUACAGCAACCGCCAAGAAAACUCUGUAUGAACUUCCGUCAACCUAACACUAGAACAUUUCUGGAAAGAUUAAAAGAGAAAGAAGGAACUCGGCAAACCUUAACCCCGCCUGUUUACCAAAAACAUCGCCUCUUGACUCACAAUAAGAGGUCCAGCCUGCCCAGUGAUAAAAUUCAACGGCCACGGUACCCUAACCGUGCAAAGGUAGCAUAAUCACUUGUUCUCUAAAUAAGGACUUGUAUCAACGGCAUCACGAGGGUCACGCUAUCUCCUUUCUCUGAUCAGUGAAACUAAUCUCCCCGUGAAGAAGCGGGGAUACAACUAUAAGACGAGAAGACCCCAUGGAGCUUCAAACUUUCAGCAACUAAAUCAUAUACCUUCCCCAUAUUCAUAUGCCCUGCUCAUUAGUUUUAGGUUGGGGCGACCGCGGAGUAAAAUUCAACCUCCAUGACGAAAAGAACUAAAUCUUUACCCAAGAGUUACUACUCUAAGAAUUAGAAUACUAACGCACAUGACCCGACAAACGAUCAACGGACCAAGUUACCCUGGGGAUAACAGCGCAAUCUACUUCAAGAGUUCAUAUCGACAAGUAGGCUUACGACCUCGAUGUUGGAUCAGGGUACCC
rnacentral:rRNA from 1 species